AGAGUUUGAUCAUGGCUCAGGACGAACGCUGGCGGCGUGCUUAACACAUGCAAGUCGAACGGAAAGGCCCUUCGGGGUACUCGAGUGGCGAACGGGUGAGUAACACGUGGGUGAUCUGCCCUGCACUUUGGGAUAAGCCUGGGAAACUGGGUCUAAUACCGAAUAUGACCACGCUCUUCAUGGGGUGUAGUGGAAAGCUUUUGCGGUGUGGGAUGGGCCCGCGGCCUAUCAGCUUGUUGGUGGGGUAAUGGCCUACCAAGGCGACGACGGGUAGCCGGCCUGAGAGGGUGACCGGCCACACUGGGACUGAGAUACGGCCCAGACUCCUACGGGAGGCAGCAGUGGGGAAUAUUGCACAAUGGGCGCAAGCCUGAUGCAGCGACGCCGCGUGAGGGAUGACGGCCUUCGGGUUGUAAACCUCUUUCAAUAGGGACGAAGCGCAAGUGACGGUACCUAUAGAAGAAGCACCGGCCAACUACGUGCCAGCAGCCGCGGUAAUACGUAGGGUGCGAGCGUUGUCCGGAAUUACUGGGCGUAAAGAGCUCGUAGGUGGUUUGUCGCGUUGUUCGUGAAAACUCACAGCUUAACUGUGGGCGUGCGGGCGAUACGGGCAGACUGGAGUACUGUAGGGGAGACUGGAAUUCCUGGUGUAGCGGUGGAAUGCGCAGAUAUCAGGAGGAACACCGGUGGCGAAGGCGGGUCUCUGGGCAGUAACUGACGCUGAGGAGCGAAAGCGUGGGGAGCGAACAGGAUUAGAUACCCCGGUAGUCCAA
rnacentral:rRNA from 1 species